rnacentral:rRNA from 1 species
UACGGAGGAUGCAAGCGUUAUCCGGAUUUAUUGGGUUUAAAGGGUGCGUAGGCGGGACUGUAAGUCAGGGGUGAAAUACUGCAGCUUAACUGUAGCAUUGCCUUUGAAACUGCCGUUCUUGAGUACAGUUGAGGUAGGCGGAAUGUGGUGUGUAGCGGUGAAAUGCAUAGAUAUACCACAGAACGCCGAUUGCGAAGGCAGCUUACUGAGCUGUUACUGACGCUGAGGCACGAAAGCGUGGGGAUCAAACAGGAUUA